rnacentral:rRNA from 1 species
UCGUAAGAUGUGAGGAAGGUGGGGAUGACGUCAAAUCAGCACGGCCCUUACGUCCGGGGCUACACACGUGUUACAAUGGGGGGUACAGAAGGCAGCUACACGGCGACGUGAUGCUAAUCCCUAAAGCCUCUCUCAGUUCGGAUUGGAGUCUGCAACCCGACUCCAUGAAGCUGGAUUCGCUAGUAAUCGCGCAUCAGCCACGGCGCGGUGAAUACGUUCCCGGGCCUUGUACACACCGCCCGUCAAGCCAUGAAAGCCGGGGGUACCUGAAGUGCGUAACCGCAAGGAGCGCCCUAGGGUAAAACUGGUGAUUGGGGCUAAGUCGUAACAAGGUAGCCGUACCGGAAGGUGCGGCUGGAACACCUCCUUU